UACGAGUGCCCCGAGCGUUAUCCGGAAUCAUUGGGCGUAAAGGGUGUGUAGGUGGUCGUGUUAGUCAGUCGUUAAAACCUGGGGCUCAACCCAGACCAGCGAUUGAAACGGCACGACUAGAGGAUGGCAGGGAUGUAUGGAACUCAUGGAGUAGGGUGAAAUCCGUUGAUAUCAUGGGGAACACCAAAAGCGAAGGCAGUACAUUGGGCCACUCCUGACACUGAAACACGAAAGCGUGGGUAGCGAAUGGG
rnacentral:rRNA from 1 species